rnacentral:lncRNA from 1 species
CCCCGGGCUCUCCGCGCUGCUACCUUUGGUUCGGAAGGGGGAGGAGGGCUGGCAGGGGGCUGGGGAACGGGAAAGGGGACCCCGGGAGCAUCCCCAGUGAACCUCAUCGCUUGGAAGCACGGCCACCCAAGUGACUCCGAGGACAAAGGAGGUGACACACAGACUCUACAGGCAGUGUGAUUACAGAGAUGAAUAUGGUCCAGUUCUUGCCCUCAAGGAGCUUAUGGCUAAAUGAAGGAAGUCAACACAGAUAACUUAAGUAUAAUGUGAUACGUGAUAAGAAAGGAAAACCUGCGCUGAGGUCUGAAGGAUAAAUUAGCCAAAGGGAAAACGGGGAACAAGUUUCCAGGCUGGGAAGAGGAGGAUGAAAAGCAGCAAGGAGGCCUGGGAAGUUCAGAGGUUUUAUUCUGCUUCUUCCCAUGUCAGGUGGCUCUGCUCGGGAAUGGGCUGACCCCCUGGAAUCUGAGGCAAAAGGAGAGAGAAUGAAAAGAACAAAUAAGGAGGAGUGACCCUGGCUUCUGUCAGAGGAAGGUCCAGAACAAGAAGAUUCCGCCAGGGCAGAAGCAACAGCAAUAGCACCUUUCCUUUGGAUGGCACUUUGAGGGUCACAAAGCCCUCUCACCAUCAUCAUCCUCCAUGACUUACAUGACAUCCUUUCCUGGCAAUGGGGGCAGGUAUCACCAUCACAAGUUCACAAAGGAGAAACCUGAUGCUCAGACAUUUUUAAAGGACUUGGCCAGAGUCAUAUUUGCUCAGAAGUCUCGGGGCCAUUGUUAACAUUCUUACUGACCUGUGACCUCUUCCAUUCGGCUGUUUAGAAAAAAGACUUAGAUCCUCUGCCUCAAUAAAUUCUGAUGCAUGCACAAACCUAA